rnacentral:rRNA from 1 species
UAGAGUUUGAUCAUGGCUCAGAUUGAACGCUGGCGGCAUGCCUUACACAUGCAAGUCGAACGGCAGCACGGGAGCUUGCUCCUGGUGGCGAGUGGCGAACGGGUGAGUAAUACAUCGGAACGUACCCAGGAGUGGGGGAUAACGUAGCGAAAGUUACGCUAAUACCGCAUAUUCUGUGAGCAGGAAAGCGGGGGAUCGCAAGACCUCGCGCUCUUGGAGCGGCCGAUGUCGGAUUAGCUAGUUGGUGAGGUAAAAGCUCACCAAGGCGACGAUCCGUAGCAGGUCUGAGAGGAUGAUCUGCCACACUGGGACUGAGACACGGCCCAGACUCCUACGGGAGGCAGCAGUGGGGAAUUUUGGACAAUGGGGGCAACCCUGAUCCAGCCAUGCCGCGUGAGUGAAGAAGGCCUUCGGGUUGUAAAGCUCUUUCGGCGGGGAAGAAAUGGCAACGGCUAAUAUCCGUUGUUGAUGACGGUACCCGCAUAAGAAGCACCGGCUAACUACGUGCCAGCAGCCGCGGUAAUACGUAGGGUGCGAGCGUUAAUCGGAAUUACUGGGCGUAAAGCGUGCGCAGGCGGUUUCGUAAGACAGACGUGAAAUCCCCGGGCUCAACCUGGGAACUGCGUUUGUGACUGCGAGGCUAGAGUACGGCAGAGGGGGGUAGAAUUCCACGUGUAGCAGUGAA